rnacentral:lncRNA from 1 species
CUCUGAUUUUGUCCAUCUGUUCGUGGAGAGGCAUGCUGCUCCUCAUAUCGCUCGAUUACAGACUGGAUUCCUCCUUGACUUGCUCCAUCCUUGUCGGAUCUCUGAGGCAUAUUGUUUCACCUUUUGUACUUUCAACACCUAACACCACUUGUCCCACCGGGCGUGCCAAAUUGUUUCGCGCGGGUUAACUCGCUAACAAUUAAAGGGGAUCAGACGAUUGUGUAAGGGACGAAACCUCUUGAGAC